AACUUGCUCCCGGAUGUUAGCGGCGGACGGGUGAGUAACACGUGGGUAACCUGCCUGUAAGACUGGGAUAACUCCGGGAAACCGGAGCUAAUACCGGAUAGUUCCUUGAACCGCAUGGUUCAAGGAUGAAAGACGGUUUCGGCUGUCACUUACAGAUGGACCCGCGGCGCAUUAGCUAGUUGGUGGGGUAAUGGCUCACCAAGGCGACGAUGCGUAGCCGACCUGAGAGGGUGAUCGGCCACACUGGGACUGAGACACGGCCCAGACUCCUACGGGAGGCAGCAGUAGGGAAUCUUCCGCAAUGGACGAAAGUCUGACGGAGCAACGCCGCGUGAGUGAUGAAGGUUUUCGGAUCGUAAAGCUCUGUUGUUAGGGAAGAACAAGUGCGAGAGUAACUGCUCGCACCUUGACGGUACCUAACCAGAAAGCCACGGCUAACUACGUGCCAGCAGCCGCGGUAAUACGUAGGUGGCAAGCGUUGUCCGGAAUUAUUGGGCGUAAAGGGCUCGCAGGCGGUUUCUUAAGUCUGAUGUGAAAGCCCCCGGCUCAACCGGGGAGGGUCAUUGGAAACUGGGAAACUUGAGUGCAGAAGAGGAGAGUGGAAUUCCACGUGUAGCGGUGAAAUGCGUAGAGAUGUGGAGGAACACCAGUGGCGAAGGCGACUCUCUGGNCUGUAACUGACGCUGAGGAGCGAAAGCGUGGGGAGCGAACNAGAUUAGAUUCCCUGGUAGUCCAC
rnacentral:rRNA from 1 species